GACGAACGCUGGCGGCGUGCUUAACACAUGCAAGUCGAACGGAGCGAAUGAAAGCUUGCUUUUAUAAGCUUAGUGGCAAACGGGUGAGUAACACGUAGACAACCUGCCGACAGGAUGGGGACAACAUUCCGAAAGGAAUGCUAAUACCGAAUGGCGUGUAGGGGAGGCAUCUUCCCUACAUGAAAGAUGGCCUCUAUUUAUAAGCUAUCACUGAUCGAUGGGUCUGCGUCUGAUUAGCUGGUAGGUAAGGUAACGGCUUACCUAGGCGACGAUCAGUAGCCGGUCUGAGAGGAUGAACGGCCACAUUGGGACUGGGACACGGCCCAGACUCCUACGGGAGGCAGCAGUGGGGAAUCUUCCGCAAUGGGCGCAAGCCUGACGGAGCAACGCCGCGUGAGUGAAGAAGGUCUUCGGAUCGUAAAGCUCUGUUGAAGGGGACGAACGUACAUAAG
rnacentral:rRNA from 1 species